CUACGGAAGGCAGCAGUGGGGAAUAUUGGGCAAUGGGCGCAAGCCUGACCCAGCAACGCCGCGUGAAGGAAGAAGGCUUUCGGGUUGUAAACUUCUUUUGGCAGGGACGAAACAAAUGACGGUACCUGCAGAAUAAGCUCCGGCUAACUACGUGCCAGCAGCCGCGGUAAUACGUAGGGAGCAAGCGUUAUCCGGAUUUACUGGGUGUAAAGGGCGCGUAGGCGGGAAUGCAAGUCAGAUGUGAAAUCUGAGGGCUUAACCCUCAAACUGCAUUUGAAACUGUAUUUCUUGAGUGAUGGAGAGGCAAGUGGAAUUCCUAGUGUAGCGGUGAAAUGCGUAGAUAUUAGGAGGAACACCAGUGGCGAAGGCGACUUGCUGGACAUUAACUGACGCUGAGGCGCGAAAGCGUGGGGAGCAAACAGGAUUAGAUACCCCGGUAGG
rnacentral:rRNA from 1 species